rnacentral:rRNA from 1 species
UGCAGUCGAACGGCAGCGCGGACUUCGGUCUGGCGGCGAGUGGCGCAUGGGUGAGUAAUGUAUCGGAACGUGCCCUAGAGUGGGGGAUAACGUAGCGAAAGUUACGCUAAUACCGCAUACGAUCUACGGAUGAAAGUGGGGGACCGCAAGGCCUCACGCUCAUGGAGCGGCCGAUAUCUGAUUAGCUAGUUGGUAGGGUAAAAGCCUACCAAGGCGACGAUCAGUAGCUGGUCUGAGAGGACGACCAGCCACACUGGGACUGAGACACGGCCCAGACUCCUACGGGAGGCAGCAGUGGGGAAUUUUGGACAAUGGGGGAAACCCUGAUCCAGCAAUGCCGCGUGUGUGAAGAAGGCCUUCGGGUUGUAAAGCACUUUUGUCAGGAACGAAACGGUGGGGGCUAAUAUCCUCUGCUAAUGACGGUACCUGAAGAAUAAGCACCGGCUAACUACGUGCCAGCAGCCGCGGUAAUACGUAGGGUGCGAGCGUUAAUCGGAAUUACUGGGCGUAAAGCGUGCGCAGGCGGUUGUGCAAGACAGAUGUGAAAUCCCCGGGCUUAACCUGGGAAUUGCAUUUGUGACUGCACGGCUAGAGUGUGUCAGAGGGGGGUAGAAUUCCACGUGUAGCAGUGAAAUGCGUAGAUAUGUGGAGGAAUACCGAUGGCGAAGGCAGCCCCCUGGGAUAACACUGACGCUCAUGCACGAAAGCGUGGGGAGCAAACAGGAUUAGAUACCCUGGUAGUCCACGCCCUAAACGAUGUCUACUAGUUGUCGGGUCUUAAUUGACUCGGUAACGCAGCUAACGCGUGAAGUAGACCGCCUGGGGAGUACGGUCGCAAGAUUAAAACUCAAAGGAAUUGACGGGGACCCGCACAAGCGGUGGAUGAUGCGGAUUAAUUCGAUGC